CAGCACUAUUUACAAUAGCCAAGAAUUGGAAGCAACCUAAAUGUCCAUCGAUAGAUGAAUGGAUAAAGAAGAAGUGGUACAUAUACACAAUGGAAUACUACUCAGCCAUAAGAAGAGGGCAAAUCCUACCAUUUGCAGCAACAUGGAUGGAGCUGGAGGGUAUUAUGCUCAGUGAAAUAAGCCAAGCGGAGAAAGAGAAAUACCAAAUGAUUUCACUCAUCUGUGGAGUAUAAGAGCAAAGGAAAAACUAAAGGAACAAAACAGCAGCGGAAUCACAGAACCCAAGAAUGGACUAACAGAAAAUGAACUAAGAUACGAUAUGAAGAAGAACUUCCAACAUCAACACUCUCUGGAAGAGUCAUACCAGAAGAUGAUCAUCAAAAAACCUCAACAAAGAUCCAGGCGAUGCUGCAGUUGUAGCUGCAUUCAUCCCACCGGUUCCUGGACUUGCCAUGGGAAUGAAGAAGGAGAUAUCUCAGCUGGCCUGUGCAUACAGUAAAACAACAAAUUUGAAUGGAUCUACACUGUUGGAACUCAACCAAGAAUUAGGAGAAGUGCAAGUUGUAGUGCUCCAAAAUCUUACAACUACAGACUAUCUACUGUUAAAAGAACAUAUGGGAUGUGAACAGUUCCCAGGAAUGGGCUGUCUUAAUUUGUCUGAUUUCUCUCAGACUGUUCAAGUACAGUUGGACAAUAUCCAUCAUAUCAUAGACAAAUUUUCACAAAUGCCUAGGGUGCCUAACUGGUUUUCUUGGCCUCACUGGAGAUGGCUGGUAAUUAUAGAUCUGCUUUGGUUAUGUAA